GCUACCCGUCGUCGCCUUGGUAGGCCAUUACCCCACCAACAAGCUGAUAGGCCGCGGGCUCAUCCUUCACCGCCGGAGCUUUUAACCCCGUCCCAUGCGGGACAGAGUGUUAUCCGGUAUUAGACCCCGUUUCCAGGGCUUGUCCCAAAGUGAAGGGCAAAUUGCCCACGUGUUACUCACCCGUUCGCCACUAAUCCACCCCGAAGGGCUUCAUCGUUCGACUUGCAUGUGUUAAGCACGCCCCCAGCGUUCGUCCUGAGCCAGGAUCAAACU
rnacentral:rRNA from 1 species